rnacentral:rRNA from 1 species
AUUGAACGCUGGCGGCAGGCCUAACACAUGCAAGUCGAGCGGAUGAAGGGAGCUUGCUCCCUGAUUUAGCGGCGGACGGGUGAGUAAUGCCUAGGAAUCUGCCUGGUAGUGGGGGACAACGUUUCGAAAGGAACGCUAAUACCGCAUACGUCCUACGGGAGAAAGUGGGGGAUCUUCGGACCUCACGCUAUCAGAUGAGCCUAGGUCGGAUUAGCUAGUUGGUGAGGUAAAGGCUCACCAAGGCGACGAUCCGUAACUGGUCUGAGAGGAUGAUCAGUCACACUGGAACUGAGACACGGUCCAGACUCCUACGGGAGGCAGCAGUGGGGAAUAUUGGACAAUGGGCGAAAGCCUGAUCCAGCCAUGCCGCGUGUGUGAAGGAGGUCUUCGGAUUGUAAAGCACUUUAAGUUGGGAGGAAGGGCAGUAAGUUAAUACCUUGCUGUUUUGACGUUACCAACAGAAUAAGCACCGGCUAACUUCGUGCCAGCCGCCGCAGUAACAC